rnacentral:piRNA from 1 species
UGGUGAUACCCUUGUCUCCCCACCU